GAGGGGGAAAAGGAAGGGGCCUGAGGCUGUGAGGAAUGGUGGCCGUCGAAGUCCAAAACACCUGGAGGGAAGGCCCAACUUGGCCUAUGCCUGGUAUAGCUCUUUUUUGAGAGUCUCUCCUUUGGGGACAGAUGGAAUAAACCUACAACACUUUCCUGCAAUUUUAACUUCCACGUUCUAUCCAAUUUGGAUUGCUCUUCCAUGCUUUCAAAUUGUUUCCGACUUAUGAGGAUGUUUGGAGAACACAACACAUUCCAGAAACCCUCAGCAACAAACCUAAUGGGGGAAAACAUUGGGAAUUGCAGUGAAACUUCAUGCUGGAGGACUCCAACCUGAUUUUCUAGGCAGAACGCUACUGGUACUCCCACUCGAACAGCAUUGUCUGUUGCCACCAGAGAAAUGAAGCUACAGAAUGCAAGUGUAAUGUAACAAUCCACACGUAUUCCAUAAUGUGACUACAUGAUUAGGAAUUUUUGCAUUUUGGUUUCUAGUCAUAAAAACAGAAUAAAAACAAUCCUGUAUGUAAUAACUUUGUUUAAUAUACACAAGCUGAUGAUUAUAUAAUAUUAUAUUUCUUAUUCUAUGUUGUACAAUAUUAUUAUAUUAUAAAGAGGUUUCUUGCAACAGGGUAAAUUGUGAGUUCAAAUAAACUGAAAUAGUUGAAGAUGUACAAAUUGGAAUAGAACCCACAAUGUGUUGUCAAAGGCUUUCAUGGCCAGGAUCACAGGGUUGUUGUGUGUCUUUCGGGCUGUGUGGCCAUGUUCCAGAAGCAUUCUCUCCUGACGUUUCGCCCACAUCUAUGGCAGGCAUCCUCAGAGGUUGUGAGGUACUCCCACAAUAUUUGGCUGGUUAGACAUGGGUGUGUGUGCAUCUGCAAGUCACCUGUCAACUUAUGAUGACCCCAUGAAUUUCA